UACGAAGGGUGCAAGCGUUACUCGGAAUUACUGGGCGUAAAGCGUGCGUAGGUGGUUUGUUAAGUCUGUUGUGAAAGCCCCGGGCUCAACCUGGGAAUGGCAAUGGAUACUGGCAAGCUAGAGUGCGGUAGAGGGUAGUAGAAUUCCCGGUGUAGCGGUGAAAUGCGUAGAGAUCGGGAGGAACACCAGUGGCGAAGGCGGCUACCUGGACCAGCACUGACACUGAGGCACGAAAGCGUGGGGAGCAAACAGG
rnacentral:rRNA from 1 species